CGGAGGAAAAGAAACCAACAGGGAUUGCCUCAGUAACGGCGAGUGAAGCGGCAAAAGCUCAAAUUUUAAAGCUGGCACCUCCGGUGUCCGCGUUGUAAUUUUGUGAGGCAUCUCCGGGUAGGGCGCCGGCCUAAGUUCCUUGGAACAGGACGUCAUAGAGGGUGAGAAUCCCGUGCUUGGCUGGCUGUCCCCGUCCAUGUGAGGUGUCUUCGACGAGUCGAGUUGUUUGGGAAUGCAGCUCAAAAUGGGUGGUAAAUUUCAUCUAAAGCUAAAUAUUGGUGGGAGACCGAUAGCGCACAAGUAGAGUGAUCGAAAGAUGAAAAGCACUUUGAAAAUAGAGUUAAAAAGUACGUGAAAUUGUUGAAAGGGAAGCGCUUGAGACCAGACUUCGGUGGGGAGUGAUCAGCUGUCCUUCUGGGCGGUGCACUUGCUCCCCUCCGGGCCAGCAUCGGUUGGGACGGCGGGAUAAAGGUCCUGGGAAUGUGGCUCCUUUCGGGGAGUGUUAUAGCCCGGGAUGAAAUGCCGCCAGCUCCGACCGAGGACCGCGCCUUCGGGCUAGGAUGCUUGGCAUAAUGGUCUUCAGCGACCCGUCU
rnacentral:rRNA from 1 species